GCAGUGAAAUGCUUUGCCAAGUCACAUAGCUAAUAAGGAAAGAGAUGGGAUUUGAAUCCAAGUCUGUCUCCAAAAGAAAAGGUUGGAAGCUAGAGAGGUUUGAUGGCCUGCUCAAGGUCAAACGGGCCCUAACUAGAACCCAGGUAUCCUCACUCCUGGUCCUGUCUACCUUCCACAAAGGAGACCUGUUGGUUUAUUUGAUGGUUUCAAGUUCUUCAUUGAAAUUAACCAAGGAAGUAACAUUUCUGCCAACAACAACAUCCACUCCUACUCAGCUCUUCGUUCCCUGCAAUUCCUGUCUUGCCCGACCCCUGCAGAGUGGAAGAAGGUGAUGGAUGGGCAGAGAAAUGGGAGAUGGACAGCUACCAGGGAAGAAUCUGUGAUUUGGGAGCCUUUUGGUGACAUGCACAUUCAAAGGACUAGGAAAGAAUGGCUUUUUCAAACAGCAUAAAUAGAAAACCAGUGGGCCCGAGCGCUCACUGCUACAUAAUGAACGUGCCUGCCUUUUCCUAACAACAUUUUAAGUCGGUAAUUGGCCCGACAGGGGACGUGAACUGUACACUGAGUCACAGAAUAGUACAGAAAAUCUCAGAAUGGCUUCACCUCCCAUCAGGAAAGCCUCCCGUGUACCAAGCCCUGUAGAGACACAUUUCUGGCAUUUGGAGGAGUGCAGACGUUCAAAAUAAGAAAGAGCUUCAGAGGACAACCGUCCCCUGGGUUCCCGGCCUUUUCCACAUCAGAAGACUCUUUGAUAUGUUCCCCUCUUUCCCUAGGGCCCCUUGUUCUAAAGGAUGCAGCCAGCAAACUAAACUGCUCUGAUCAUCUAAAAAAAAAGGAUAUGUUUCCCACAGAAUAACCACAGAUCUAUAUAACGAAUGAUCACUCAGUUAAUAUGAUGCCUCUAAAAGAUAAGUGGCCUGUCUCAUCUAAAAUAAUCAUAAUAUCAAUAAUAAUAUGAUUUUAUUGGGUGCUUACUAAAGCCCAGAUGAGGGAUUUACAAUGCUUAUCUUACUUAAUCCUUAUGAGACUGUCAUAAAGUUGUCUUUAUUUCACAGUUCAGGAAACAGAGGCACAGAGGAGUUCUGUAACUUACCAAACUAGGUUCAAAACUCAGAUUUAUCUGACUGCAAAGUCACUUUUUUUUUUUUUUUUGGAU
rnacentral:lncRNA from 10 species